GACGAACGCUGGCGGCGUGCUUAACACAUGCAAGUCGAACGAAGUGGCGAACGGGUGAGUAACGCGUAAUCAAACUUCCCUUCAGAGGGGGACAACAGUUGGAAACGACUGCUACUACCGCAUACUGACGGCGGGGAUUGCGUUGGAUUAGCUAGUUGGAGGGGAAACGGCCCACCAAGGCGAUGAUCAGUAGCCGGUCUGAGAGGAUGAACUGCAAAAUUGGGACUGCGACACGGCCCAAACGCCUACGGGAGGAAGCAGUGGGGAAUCUUCCGCAAUGGACGAAAGUCUGACGGAGCAACGCCGCGUGAGUGAUGACGGCCUUCGGGUUGUAAAGCUCUGUUAAUCGGGACGCGGUACCGGAAUAGAAAGCCACGGCUAACUACGUGCCAGCAGCCGCGGUAAUAC
rnacentral:rRNA from 1 species